CUGUUCCCCUACGAUCACCGAAGUUAAGUAACAUCGAGCCUGAUCAGUAGUUAGAUGGGUAACCAUUUAGGAAUACCAGAUGUUGUAAG